GACGAACCGUGCAAACGUUGUUCGGAAUCACUGGGCUUAAAGGGCGCGUAGGCGGCUUGCCAAGUCAGUGGUGAAAUCCUGCAGCUUAACUGUAGAAGUGCCUCUGAUACUGGCGGGCUAGAGCGAGGUAGGGGUCUGUGGAACUUCUGGUGGAGCGGUGAAAUGCGUUGAUAUCAGAAGGAACGCCGGUGGCGAAAGCGACGGACUGGACCUUUUCUGACGCUGAGGCGCGAAAGCUAGGGGAGCAAACGGG
rnacentral:rRNA from 1 species